rnacentral:rRNA from 1 species
CCUACGGGUGGCUGCAGUGGGGAAUAUUGGGCAAUGGGCGAAAGCCUGACCCAGCCACGCCGCGUGAGUGAUGAAGGCCUUCGGGUCGUAAAGCUCUGUGGGGAGGGACGAACAAGCACGGCAUUAACACUGCCGGGCCCUGACGGUACCUCCUUAGCAAGCACCGGCUAACCAUGUGCCAGCAGCCGCGGUAAUACAUGGGGUGCAAACGUUGCUCGGAAUCAUUGGGCGGGAAGCUCACGUAGGAUGUGAAAGCCCUCGGCUCAACCGAGGAAGUGCAUCCGAAACUGAACGACUGGAGUAUGGCAGAGGGUCGCGGAAUUCCCGGUGUAGAGGUGAAAUUCGUAGAUAUCGGGAGGAACACCGGUGGCGAAGGCGGCGACCUGGGCCAAUACUGACGCUGAGGUGCGAAAGCGUGGGGAGCAAACAGGAUUAGAUACCCCAGUAGUC